UGAAUACACCAAGACAAUAUCGAGCCAUAGUUGGCCACGCGAGGAAUACCUGAUCCAUGAAAUAAUACCUUUGAUUUGUGAAGAUCCAGAACGCGCGACGAAAGUAGAAAAUAUAACCGGAUACACAUGCACGGACUUUCUUCUGUUUGCUCUACCCGAAGAAUCCGUGAAACCUUUUCGGGACAACUUCGUGAAGCUGGACGUGUACUUUGAAGAUCUGAACUAUGAACAUAUCGAGGAG